rnacentral:rRNA from 1 species
UUGAACGCUGGCGGCAGGCCUAACACAUGCAAGUCGAGCGGAUGAAGGGAGCUUGCUCCUGGAUUCAGCGGCGGACGGGUGAGUAAUGCCUAGGAAUCUGCCUGGUAGUGGGGGAUAACGUCCGGAAACGGGCGCUAAUACCGCAUACGUCCUGAGGGAGAAAGUGGGGGAUCUUCGGACCUCACGCUAUCAGAUGGGCCUAGGUCGGAUUAGCUAGUUGGUGGGGUAAAGGCCUACCAAGGCGACGAUCCGUAACUGGUCUGAGAGGAUGAUCAGUCACACUGGAACUGAGACACGGUCCAGACUCCUACGGGAGGCAGCAGUGGGGAAUAUUGGACAAUGGGCGAAAGCCUGAUCCAGCCAUGCCGCGUGUGUGAAGAAGGUCUUCGGAUUGUAAAGCACUUUAAGUUGGGAGGAAGGGCAGUAAGUUAAUACCUUGCUGUUUUGACGUUACCAACAGAAUAAGCACCGGCUAACCUCGUG